AAACUUUCACUAUAAAUAGAUACUCAAGGGUGAAGGAGAAAAGCAGAAAAAAGUAUCAGAACUCAAGCUCAAAGUUCUCAAUUCUUCUUAGAGUUCAAAGAGUUGAAACACUUGUUCAGGUUAGAAAUAUUUUCUAAGUGUUCUUUUCUUAGAGUGUGAGAGUUAUUAUUAUUAUCAGCUUUAUUAGAAGCAACUACUCAAGUUCCAAUCUUUUGUAUUCAACCCGAUAGUGGUUUAGUUCCUUCUUCAAUAUGGAGUUUAAUGGUAUCCUUUAGGUGGACGCAAUCAUCGGUAUUAUGGUCGUUGCACUUGUAGAAGCGACAAUACUUAUUUUUAUCAACUCUCGGCGCAGAGGAAACUGUCAGGGAAACUGAAUUCCCCCUUCCUUGAAUUCAAUAUGUGUUCCCUGGAACCACUCAGAGAGGUGUAAGGUAGGUAUCGACCAGGUCGACUGCAUCGAUUUGAUGACUCCUUUCGCGGCUUUUCAUCCCCUUUACGUUCAACCAGAGGUCGUUAGGGCGGGUUGACGAGUAAGGUAUUGUUGUUCCUGUCUAAUCUACCCCUUCGUACUCUUUGGGCGUAGAUAUCCUCUUCAUUAUGGAUGUAGGUCUAUGGUUGAGCCAAAGAUUCAUUCAGGGUAUUUGGCUUCUUCAACCCAAUAUCAUCGGCAAAGCGGCUCCCUUCAAGGAGACCCUCCUUCACUAGCUACAUCAUCAUGUUAUCAUUUUCCUUUUUGACGGAUACAACUUCUUUGUUGAAGCAUUCGAUUUAGUUAUAGAAAGGUUCAUCCCUACCCUAGACAAUUGAUGACAUUGUGUCGAUCAUCUAGAGCUACUUUUUUGAGGCAUUGUUUUGAGCAACUAAUUCUUUGCAGAACUCUUCCCAAGAAUCGGAGGAGUUGGAGGCAAACUCUUAAACCAAGUCAUGGCACUUUCUUCCAAUGUGAAUGCAAAAAGAUGACAUUUGAUGGGUCCUUCCAUGCCACUGUAGUCGAGGAUGGCCUCCACAUUUAAGAUAUGCCCAUCGAAGUUUGUUGUCCCAUCGUAUGAGUUCAUGUGUGGGGAUUUCUCCAACAUCCUUGGUAUCCUGUAGUUCUUGGUCCUUGUUGUGAAGGGUCCACGAGACUCGUAUGAUCCGUAUGGUUCUCGAAAAAUCCCAUGUGUUGGAGAUGGAAUGAAACGCGAUCUGGAUCAAGAAUGACGUCAAGGUUAUCGAUUAUCCAUGAGUUAGAGUCUUUGUAGGACCUUUUUCGAUAACCUCGCUCCGGUGACUCUCGUGGGAAACUUUUCAUGCGCUUUUGGGUCGAUCAUAUUUUGUUUCUUCUUCUAGACAGAGUGUCGUGGCGGCGUAGCCUUACGAAACCUUUAGAGUAUUAUGUUGUCUACUAGGUUGUUACCAUUGUGUAGGUUGUUGGUUUUCUAUAGCACUAAGACGGUGGUUCUAUUCAUGGAUCAUUCUAGUUUGUUCUAGUGUCUGGGCAACAAGUUCGUUGAGGAUUGCUCCUAUGUUUUGGUCCACCGCAAGGUUGGCGUCUGUGUUGGGCACGACGUGGUUAACGAAGCCUUCUUGGGAUGGGGGCGUUGUGGCCCCUUCCUCAUAUUGUUGAAGGGUGGUGUCAAUAUUCAUUCUAGGGUUGUUGAGCUUGUUACCUUCCAUUGGAGAGUUAUGAGUUAGGUUUUUAGCAAAACAAGGAAACCUAGAUUCCUAUAGAUGAUCUGAUAUGGACUGAGGAGGAUGGUCAAAUUCGUGAGAGACAGAUAAUAGACUUCGAACCUGCUGAGGGGUGGUACCUUCAAAUGUUAUGAUGCUCAAGUAAGUAUUGAUUCGAGGGUAGUAGGAGAUAGUAGGAUGAAAA
rnacentral:lncRNA from 1 species